rnacentral:tRNA from 1 species
UAAUUAGAAACAAAUUUGUAAUUAGUUUCGGCCUAACCAUUUGGUAAUAUAAUUAUCCUAAUUAA